rnacentral:rRNA from 1 species
UUAUUAUUGGGCCUAAAGCGUCCGUAGCUGGUCUUCUAAAUGCCUGGGUAAAUCCAACCGCUCAACCGAUCGAACUGCGGGUAGACCGGGAGACUAGGGACCGGGAGAGGCACGAGGUACUCCGGGGGUAGGGGUGAAAUUCUGUAAUCCUGGAAGGACUACCGGUGGCGAAGGCGCUUGCUAGAACGGCUCCGACGGUGAGGGACGAAGCCCUGGGGCGCAAACCGGAUUAGAUACCCGGGUAGUCCAGGGUGUAAACGCUGCGGACUUGGUGUCGGUGAUCCUGAGAGGGCAGCCGGUGCCGGAGAGAAGUUGUUAAGACUGCCGCCUGGGGAGUACGGCCGCAAGACUGAAACUUAAAGGAAUUGGC